rnacentral:tRNA from 1 species
GGCGGCGUCGACGAGGCGGCGAAGGUCGGCGCGCUGUCGCUGCGCCUCGGCCUCGGCUGGGCGAAGUCACACUCGUUCGUCACCGGUCAGUGCCC